rnacentral:rRNA from 1 species
UACGUAGGGGGCAAGCGUUGUCCGGAAUUAUUGGGCGUAAAGGGCUCGUAGGCGGUUCGUCACGUCGGGAGUGAAAACUCGGGGCUUAACCCCGAGCCUGCUUCCGAUACGGGCAGACUAGAGGUAGGCAGGGGAGAGCGGAACUCCUGGUGUAGCGGUGGAAUGCGCAGAUAUCAGGAAGAACACCGGUGGCGAAGGCGGCUCUCUGGGCCUUACCUGACGCUGAGGAGCGAAAGCGUGGGUAGCGAACAGG